UACAGAGGUCUCAAGCGUUGUUCGGAUUCAUUGGGCGUAAAGGGUGCGUAGGCGGCGCGGUAAGUCGGGUGUGAAAUCUUGGAGCUUAACUCCGAAACUGCAUUCGAUACUGCCGUGCUUGAGGACUGGAGAGGAGACUGGAAUUUACGGUGUAGCAGUGAAAUGCGUAGAGAUCGUAAGGAAGACCAGUGGCGAAGGCGAGUCUCUGGACAGUUACUGACGCUGAGGCACGAAGGCCAGGGGAGCAAACGGG
rnacentral:rRNA from 1 species